UACGUAGGGUGCAAGCGUUGUCCGGAAUUAUUGGGCGUAAAGAGCUCGUAGGCGGUUUGUCGCGUCUGCUGUGAAAACGCGAGGCUCAACCUCGCGCCUGCAGUGGGUACGGGCAGACUAGAGUGCGGUAGGGGAGAUUGGAAUUCCUGGUGUAGCGGUGGAAUGCGCAGAUAUCAGGAGGAACACCGAUGGCGAAGGCAGAUCUCUGGGCCGUUACUGACGCUGAGAAGCGAAAGCAUGGGGAGCGAACAGG
rnacentral:rRNA from 1 species